rnacentral:rRNA from 1 species
UGCUGGGUGGAAGAGUGGCGAACGGGUGAGUAACACGUGAGUAACCUGCCCUGGACUCUGGGAUAAGCGCUGGAAACGGCGUCUAAUACUGGAUAUGACCCCUGGCCGCAUGGUCUGGGGGUGGAAAGAUUUAUCGGUCUGGGAUGGGCUCGCGGCCUAUCAGCUGGAUGGUGAGGUAACGGCUCACCAUGGCGACGACGGGUAGCCGGCCUGAGAGGGUGACCGGCCACACUGGGACUGAGACACGGCCCAGACUCCUACGGGAGGCAGCAGUGGGGAAUAUUGCACAAUGGGCGCAAGCCUGAUGCAGCAACGCCGCGUGAGGGAUGACGGCCUUCGGGUUGUAAACCUCUUUUAGUAGGGAAGAAGCGAAAGUGACGGUACCUGCAGAAAAAGCACCGGCUAACUACGUGCCAGCAGCCGCGGUAAUACGUAGGGUGCAAGCGUUGUCCGGAAUUAUUGGGCGUAAAGAGCUCGUAGGCGGCUUGUCGCGUCUGCUGUGAAAACCCGAGGCUCAACCUCGGGCCUGCAGUGGGUACGGGCAGGCUAGAGUGCGGUAGGGGAGAUUGGAAUUCCUGGUGUAGCGGUGGAAUGCGCAGAUAUCAGGAGGAACACCGAUGGCGAAGGCAGAUCUCUGGGCCGCUACUGACGCUGAGGAGCGAAAGCAUGGGGAGCGAACAGGAUUAGAUACCCUGGUAGUCCAUGCCGUAAACGUUGGGAACUAGAUGUAGGGCCUGUUCCACGGGUUCUGUGUCGUAGCUAACGCAUUAAGUUCCCCGCCUGGGGAGUACGGCCGCAAGGCUAAAACUCAAAGGAAUUGACGGGGGCCCGCACAAGCGGCGGAGCAUGCGGAUUAAUUCGAUGCAACGCGAAGAACCUUACCAAGGCUUGACAUAUACGAGAACACUGCAGAGAUGCAGGACUCUUUGGACACUCGUAUACAGGUGGUGCAUGGUUGUCGUCAGCUCGUGUCGUGAGAUGUUCGGUUAAGUCCGGCAACGAGCGCAACCCUCGUCCUAUGUUGCCAGCACGUUAUGGUGGGAACUCAUGGGAUACUGCCGUGGUCAACACGGAAGGAAGGUGGGGGAUGACGUCAAAUCAUCAUG